rnacentral:lncRNA from 1 species
GAGAGUGCACUCUCUAGCGAAACUCUAGCGAAACUCACAUGUGAAACUCACUCGAUGAUCCGGUGCCGCUUAUGGAUCACUCGCCUCGCCUCCCAGGUGACUCCACCGUGUGACUAGAGCCACCUGCUACCACUCGGUCACAAAGAUGCCAAGCCGGACGAACUCCAUGUCAAUCUAGCUCAACCUCGUCGCAGUCAAGCGGUCCAACUCGAGCACGAUGACCCGGCGUCACUCGUGCUCGUGGGUCACUCGCCAGGUCAAGGCCAUGUUGUCUAACAAGUAUGGACAUCUAAACAUAUAGACAUAGAGGAGUUCGCUUCUUCACACGCUCAAGGGCUAAAUGGAAGAAUUGGCCAGGUUAAUAUGCGAUCCGGAAAACAACGUGAUCACCCUUUCGCUAGAGUGGGAAGCGCUCGACGAUGCAAAGAAGUUGCUGAUCUCCAAGGAUUACGUUGAGAAGGAAGAGAAGGGGAAGUUUGUUUCUUUUGAGCGCGACUCUUCUCACCCGCCUCCGUUUUCAACAUCACUUGUCUUCCCUGAGGAAGCCCCAGAACCGCAGCACGGGACAGCAGGUAGGGGCGUCCAUGACGGCGGGUGGGAAGACUGCGACUCGCUCCAGCUCGACACGGCCUCGCUACCCGAACCACAGCAGCUCAGUGUUCAGGCCCUGACCAAGCGCCAAAUGAUCAUACUCAGGUUCGUGGUGCAGCCAUCCGUUCAGUCAAGUGGCAACCAAAUCUACCUCAAACUUGGUAUCGACAAAUUCGUGUUGGGAGUCCCCGAAAAGGACUUCCUGGAGCCAGAACACGGCCUUGGCUUCUACCCCUACUUCAUACAGGUCAGUUUGGAGCCGGAAUACAACAACCUGGAAGCAGUCCCCAUGAGCCAGCCCGUCUACAAGAUGAAGAACCAGCAGGACAUAGAGAGGAAAGCAUGGACGGUGUCUGCCACCGAGCAAAUCAGGACGAGGAAGACACAAGUGGAUGCCAAGCUAGGAUUCCGUCCUGCCAGUUUGACGGUGACGCAUGCCUGGGGGCAGGAGGAGAAGGUUUCGAUCUACAAGACUCUCCUGGGGCCAGUCGAGGGCAUGGGGGAGAAUAGCAAAGCCGCCAGAUUCGAGUGGAACUUGCUCCGAUGGGGGAACAACGAGAAGUACGAUCCACACAAGCCGGAGUCCGCCUUGAAGUGGUCAAUGCCGCAGCUUCCCUUCCCCAGGAACGGGAAGGCCACGUGUCCCGUGCUGGAGGACUUUCCGGAUACAUGGUGGCGCUUCACUGAGCAGCAGUCUAUGCCCACUGGAAUCCGAGUUCAAGUGAAGGCUGUACUGCACCUUGUCUACGUCAAGAGCGCCUGCUGCUUCUUCAACGUUUAUAGAUCGCAGGAAGAGAAAUUCGAGUUUGAGCAGCUCUACCCUCUCAACUAUCCCAAGGUCACGAGUUCGCCUUGUUCCUCGAGUUCAGAUCCGCUGCCAUUGUAGUUUUUUGUUUUACUUUAAAGAAUAUCAAGGUUUACCUUGGAAUGGUCCUGAUAGAGCCAUUUGAGAAGUUGUUGAAGCUGACCAAACCCAAGAAGCUGGUUUUUAUAGGUGGGUUCCAAAAGCUGGAGUUCGUCCUUGCUGAUAAGUGUGAUGGAACAGGGGCUUUCUAUGUUACCAUUCGUUGCAAUUUAUAAAAGGAACAACGAGCCCUUCCUGCUCUUUGCUACUAAGUCUUGCAAAAGACUAAUUAAAAAAUCACCCUGAAGCCAAAAC